GAUUGUUAAUAGUAUUUUAUUUAUUCGCCCCUUUUAGGUAUUGACUAUAAAUAAACAGCUUUUAAUCUGCUGAUUUUUCUUAUGUGGUGUUACUUUUUUUUUUAAUAGAAUGUGGUGUUACUUGGUAUGAUGUUUUCAUGAGCAUUUAUUGAGAGGACACUUUGGUGUUUGCACACCAUCUGUUUGAUGAAAUGCUUCAUAGAAGUCUAACAACUCGUUUCAUAUGAUUCGCCUGCAGUAGGGAACCAAUGCAACAGAUGGUGAUCUUCACAACAGACGGCUAAUUCACACCCACAAAUCGUAGGCCCGCCACCCCACUCAUUGCCAGGACUAUGUUCUCUUAACCGGGCCUACGCCUGGCCGAGUGUGGCUUGGCUAUCCCCGAGAAUGAUUUUCUUUCUCUUCUUUAUUCUGCUACGGUGCUUACUACUGGUAGAUAGAAAGUCAGAAAUGUCAACCAUUUCACAUCCCCAUAUGGCACAUUCUUUUUUUUUUCUCUUUUGAAUUAGAAAGCUUACUUCCACCCUUUAUUACACCAAGUAAUUAAAUAAACUCACCUUACUCAGAUUUAAAUCUAUCUGGAAGCUGGGACCUCCCCUCCAAGUGACAUGAGCCUCUACGAAGUGGGCUACCCCAUAUUGGCACACAUAUCUGUUAACCAAGUAAUAUUUCAAUGA